rnacentral:rRNA from 1 species
AUAACCGGCGGAAACGGCGACUAAUACCCCAUAUGCUGCGAUGCUGCAUGGCAUUGCAAUGAAAGAUUCAUCGGUGGCGGAUAGGCUCGCGGGACAUUAGCUAGACGGCGGGGCAACGGCCCACCGUGGCGACGAUGUCUAGGGGUUCUGAGAGGAAGACCCCCCACACUGGGACUGAGACACGGCCCAGACUCCUACGGGAGGCAGCAGUGAGGAAUAUUGGUCAAUGGGCGGAAGCCUGAACCAGCCAUGCCGCGUGAAGGACUAAGGCCCUACGGGUCGUAAACUUCUUUAGACGCAGAGCAAUAAGGUCCACGAGUGGACCGAUGAGAGUAUGCGUAGAAUAAGCAUCGGCUAACUCCGUGCCAGCAGCCGCGGUAAUACGGGGGAUGCGAGCGUUAUCCGGAUUCAUUGGGUUUAAAGGGUGCGUAGGCGGCCGAGUAAGUCAGCGGUGAAAGACCGAGGCUCAACCCUGGAAGUGCCGUUGAUACUGUUUGGCUGGAAUGAUCCCGCCGCGGGAGGAAUGAGUGGUGUAGCGGUGAAAUGCAUAGAUAUCACUCAGAACACCGAUUGCGAAGGCAUCUCGCGAGGGGUCAAUUGACGCUGAGGCACGAAAGCGUGGGGAUCGAACAGGAUUAGAUACCCUGGUAGUCCACGCGGU